CCCUUAGAUGUUCUGGGCCGCACGCGCGCUACACUGAUGCAUUCAACAAGUUCUACCUUGGCCGAGAGGCCUGGGAAAUCUUUCAAAUAUGUAUCGUGAUAGGGAUAGAUUAUUGCAAUUAUUAAUCUUGAACGAGGAAUUCCUAGUAAAUGCAGAUCAUCAUUCUGCGUUGAUUACGUCCCUGCCCUUUGUACACACCGCCCGUCGCACCUACCGAUUGAAUGAUCCGGUGAAGCCUCGGGAUUGUGCCCAGAGAACUUUAUUGUGAUUUGUGUGUGAGAACUUGUCUAAACCUUAUCAUUUAGAGGAAGGUGAAGUCGUAACA
rnacentral:rRNA from 1 species